UUACAAUUAAAAAGUCUCUUAACUGUGGG
rnacentral:piRNA from 1 species